AACAAACUAACUACUCGUAUACUAUAAUCUGAAUUAUUGCAUCUACUUUCUAGUUCUAGGAUUACCUCUAACAUUACAUAUAUAAGCUAGUUCCCUUACUAAGACUUCACUGUUAUGAAAAGUAUUCUCAAAUAUACGUGAAUUUCUUUCCAGCCAUAAAGCAUAUGAUACUUCAGCAAUCACCAUUUUGAAUAUACUGGCUCUACAGGAUUUCCCUUUAGCUUUACU
rnacentral:lncRNA from 1 species